rnacentral:rRNA from 1 species
GAAGACUACCACGUCGAUAGGCUGUAGGUGUAAAGGCAGUAAUGUCAAAGCCAAGCAGUACUAAUCACCCGAUAGGCUUCUUAUU